CCGUUAGACUUGAUCUAACGUAUUUGAAGUUUCUAGAAAAUAAUUUUUUCGAUUUUUCGAUAUCAUUUACCUAAUAAUCGAAAGGAUUCAAAAUCAAUAAUUUUUAACGGCCAAAAAUAAAAAUUCAAUAAAAAGUGGUGAUAUAGCACUAAAAUUUUCUAUCAGAAAUAUUGAUCUUGUUGUAGAUAGUAUAAAGAAUUUUGUAUCAAAAUUUCAUCUAAUUUGAAUACUUCUACACCGUCAAAUUUAAAAACGGCAGAUAUCAAACAUUAAAAAUUUAUUAAUUUUGAAUCCUUUCGAUCACUAGGUAAAUAAUAUAAAAAAAUCGCAAAAACUAUUUUCUAAAACCUUCAAAUACGCUAGAUCAAUUCUAAUGGAGCUGAUCGACGAUUCAAAAAUUCUAUUAUCGAAAACGGCUCAGGAGCAUGGAGGCCUCCAUGCUCCUGAGAGGACAGCAGCCCUACUCAUAUAUAUAUAUACCUAUAAUUAUAUUAUAUAUAGUAUAUAUAUAUAUAUAUAUAUAUAUAUAUAAUAUAUAUAGUAUAUAUAUUCUAUAUAUUAUAUAAGUCGCGCUACUAUACCUUAUAAUACGAUGCACUCACGUACCAUAAAUUGUUUUCGAAUGAUAGGCGUCCAAAUCGCGACGACCACUUCCGUAAAUGUUAUUCUAGAGCAUUUGAAUACUCUAAAAAAAUCAAAUUUCAUAAUUUUUCGACAUCAUUUACCUUACGAUCAAAAGCUCACAAAAUUGACAAUUUUUAACGACCGGUAUAGAAUACUUGCUAGUUUAACGGUGCAAAAGAAUCCGAAUAGGUUGAAUUUUUGAUAAAAAAUUCUAUUUACUACCUAGAUAAAGAUCAAUAACUCCGAUCUUAAAUUGAAGGAUCCGAUCAUCCAUUUUUAAGACAUCGUUCAAUUUCAACAGUUCAUUUUAUGCCCGCUUGAUGGACUUUAUUAUAAUUUCGAAAAAUUACAAAAUUUAUUUUUUAGAAGUUUCAAAUACUCUAGAUCAUAUUUAACGGAGUUAAUCGUCGAUUCGGAAGCUCUAUCAUCGAAAACAACUUAUCAGUACGAAGGGCCCAAUACUCAUAAUAGUAUAGUAGCCCUACUAUAUAUAUAUAUAGGGAAAACUUCAAGAAACCCCCCUGUGGUUUCAUAGUUUCUCACUUUGCCCCCUGUGGUUUAAAAUGUAUCAAAUUGCUCUCCUGUGAUUUUGUUUUUAUCUUUUCGUUAGCUUUUUCGUUAAUAUUUCUUUAAAUUAUAUACAAAAAACUCUAGAUACUCAUCUAGAUUUAUCAAAUAUUCACUUUAGUACCCUUUAAUUUUAACUUUAUCACUGAUUUAAGAAAAAAAUAAUGAAAUUGAUAAGAAAAAAAAAAAAAAAGAAACCACAGGGGGGCAAAUUGAUACAUUUUAAACCACAGGGGGACAAAGUGAGAAACUACGAAACCACAUGGAGGGUUUUUGAAGUUUUCCUAUAUAUAUAUAUAUAUAUAUAUAUAUCGCUAGGGCUACUUUACUCUUAUGAGUAUUAGCCCAUUUGUACUCAUAAGUUUUUCAUCAUUGGAAGAAGGGAUGUGCGGUUUUGGAUGACCCUAAGGUUGGCUGGGCGGUUGGUUGGUUGAAUAUUAUAAUCUAGCAGGUAGAAAUAGUAAAAAGGAUAAAUCUAACGGACUAAAACUUAUGAAUACAAAAGGAUCUUUACUUAUAAGAGUAUAGUAGCUGAACUCUCUCUCUCUCUAUAUAUAGUGAGAGUGAGAGUUUGGCUACUAUACUCUUAUGAGUACGAUCGCCUUCGUACUCAUAACUCGUUAUCAAUGAUAGAACUUUCGAAUCGACGAUUCAUGCCGUUAAACAUUAUACAGAGUAUUUAAAACUUUUAGUAAUUAAAUUUUAUAAUUUUUUAUCAUAAUUUACCUCACGAUCAAAAGAUCUCAAAAUUAAUAAUUUUUAACGGCCGGUAUGAGAUACUUGCUAUUUUAACAGUGUAAAAAAACCGAAAUCAAUUGAAUUUGUGAUAAAAAAUUCUAUUCACUAUCUAGAUAAAGAUCAAUAACUUCGAUCUUAUAUUGAAGGAUCCGAUCAUUCAUUUCUAAGACGCCGUUUCAUUUUGACCGAAAAAUGAAAUUUAGUUUGCAAAUACUUUCAAUAGUGUAGAUCAAGUCUAAUGGAGCCGAUCGUCGAUUCGGAAGCAGCAUCAUAGAAAACAACUUGGUAGGACGGAGGCGUCCGUGCUACCAAUAGUAUAGCAGCCUAGCUCUCUCUCUCUAUAUAUUUAAAUAUAUGAAAUUACGGAAUGAUAAGAUAUUUAAAAUUUCGUACUACUUCAAUUGAAUGUGGCUUAAAGAUUAGCACUAGAAGGGAAAUGAAAACGAAACGUUCGGUGUUGACGCAAAUAUCAUUAUUUUGUAAUAGAAUCAAGAGAUAGUUGAAAGAAGAAAAACAGCCGAAGAAUAAUUAAUUAAAUUCUCCAAGCUGUAUAUUAGUGCCCAGAACAGAGAUCUUGCCUGAACUUGGACUACCAGGUCGGCUGUGGACCGGAAGCCCAUCUAGCCUUCAUUCCAAAUUAUCAGUAUCCAGUAAAAAUUAUUAAACAAAAAUCAGAUUUUCUUUUUUUGAAGAUGAGAAUUGAAACCCGUAAUUUAAUAAACAUCAGCAUUUUGAAAUCAAAGUUUCCUUUUUUUUUUUGGAAGGUGUGGAUUGAAAAGAAAGACGCAACGAAGCGAUGUUUAUAAGGCGGUCCACCACUGACCUGGUGCACCAGGUGGACGCAACAAAAGCUCAAGCGAGGUACUUUAGCCCCAUAUCGACUGCAGCGAAGAACGGAAGAGGCAAGGAGAGUACAAGAAGAGGCCUCGUCCGUGAUUCAAACUCAUACCUUUCUCGGCCUUUUGGCUAAGAUCAAGUGUAGUAUCUGUUCUUAUCAGUUUAAUAUCUGAUAUGUGGGCCAUGCGCCCACCUCGAUAUUAAAUUAAUUUUUUGUGGGGGAGGGCCCAUCCACGGUAGCUUGCUACCGGGGCCUUCGCGCGUCGCCCUUGCGUUGCACUACUGUUUGGGCCUGGCGCACCCCUACCAAUUCUUAACAGCAAAAUGUUUUUAAUUUAUUACUUGCUUGCUGGGCUUGCGUACAAAGGAAGAAUGGUGAAAAUUAUUCUUCAAUUUUUUUUUUUUGUAUAAAUCUGGAAAGGCCCAUUUUUGGAAUCUGAAUAGAAAAAUUAUUUAUACACAAGAUCAAAACUAUAGCGAUAAUUCAUUUUCCUCUUAACUUCCUCUCGAUAAUGUGUGAAACAGUUGGCAAUGACAUAAUAAAAUAGUAAGAAAUAAAAAUACAGUCAGAGGCUACAAUAUUCAGAGAAUCGGAUUUAUAUGCAAACCUCCUAUGGUUGUCAAGUUACGGGCUAAGAGGUAUAGGUAGGAACGCAAAUGGGGCGGGUCCGGAGGCUGGAGUCCCCUCUCGCGUCUCUCAUGUCCCUUCCCAAGUAUCUCCCACCCCGAAUAUGUGAUGGGUUAAGAAAUAUAUCCCAUAAUUCGUUCCGCCUCAUAAUCCAUUUUCUAUCGGCGCUCCGAAUCUUCUCUGCCAAUUAAUAUUUUUUUAAAAAAAUUAUAAUAUUAUUAAUAUUUUAUAAAAUAUAAAUUAAUAUUUUUUUAAUAAUAAUUAUAAUAUUACUAAGUUAUGUAUAUAAUAUUAAUAAUAUCAAUUAUAAAAAGCAAAAUUCAAGUUUUAGACACAUGAGAAAUGAGAGCACCAACUUAUUUGUAUUUUGGACUUUUUUUGUAAAUAUAUUAUUUUUUAGGAAUAUUUUUAAAAUAUAAAUAAUUUUUGGAGUGGAUUCCGAGUGAAUCAUGGCACUGCAGAUUCGGGCCGGGGCAAAUUUUUUUUCGUUUCCUACCCCAAAUCUGUUUCGGACCAUAAAAAUUACUCCGUUUUCUGUCCCGAAUCCGUUUAUUUAUUUCUGUUUAUUGCCCCAUUCGGGAAGGAUCGGGACGGACGCUCUACCAACCAGGAUCUGUUUGCAUUGCCAAUAGAGCGGAGAGCUGGUAGUCACACUUAGGAAAACCAUAAUGCAACCAGACAACCUUAAAUGAACCCAGGACACUGUUGGUUCAAUACGGUAAUAUAAUAUUGGAUUAUAGUAUAUGUAGGAUUACUAGAGUUGGUUCGUUUUAAAAUUCGGUAAUCAAGACAAUAAAGUGUAUUUUAUUCCAAAAUUAUCAUUUAUGAUCAUAUUUAAUAUUAUUUUUUAAUAAACUUAAAUUAAUAUAAUUUGUACUUGAUUAAUUUUAUUAAUAAGCAAAUAUAAGUAGAGGUGGAACUGGGCCCGGGCCUAAACAAGGCCCGGCCCGAUGGGCCAUGUUUGGGCCGGACUUUGGGUAUUAAAAAUAUAACUUGUGGUUCGGGCCGGGUUUAAAAAUUUUGGCCCGAAAAAAUUUAGGCCUAUUUGGGCAUGUCCAAGCCCGGCCCGAGCCCGACCCAAAAGCCCAAUAUAUUAAUUAUCCAAAUAAAAUAUUUAAUUAUAUANGUUCGGGCCGGUCUUACAAAUUUUGGCCCGAAAAAAUUUUGGGCUUAUUUGGGCAUGUCCAAGCCCGGCCCGAGCCAGACCCAUAAGCCCGAUAUAUUAAUUAUCAAAAUAAAAUAUUUAUAUAUAUAUAUAUAUUAUUUAUCUAUUAAAAGAAAUAAAUGGUAUAGUAUAUCAUAUAUAGUAUAUAUUGUUAUUAAUGAUAUGUACUUAUAUAUAUGAGGAUAUAUUAUAUAUCAACAAAAUAUUUAGUUUUAUAUUAGGAUAUAUUUGUUAUUAGAUAUUAAUUUCUUUGAUGUGAUAAAACUAAAAAUAGGUAUUUUAUUUUAAUUUUAUACAAAUAAAAGUAUUUAUGUAUUAUAUGAUACAUGCAUAAAAUGGGCCUCCACAAAGCCCGCUGGGUAUUGGGCAUUGGGCUUGGGCUUAGGCCGGGCCAUCAUUUUCAAAAAAAUUAGGUAAACGCCCGACCCAAAGCCCAACAUUUUUAUUUGGGCCGGGUUUGGGCAUAGUAUUACCCUACCCAAAUCCGGCCCUGUUCCACCCCUAAAUAUAAGACAUAAAUAAAAAAACCGCACAUGAAAACAAUUUAUAAAGCCAAAUUGGUUUUAACCCAUAGAAGAAUAAAUUAAAAAAUAUCAUAUUACAUAAUAAUAUGAUCAUACAAGAACAAGUACAUUUUAGUUUAAAAAACUAAAAUUUUAUUUAUAAGCAAUAUCAUUAACCAAAUAUCUUAAGAAAAUCUCGCUCCAGCCCAGCUCAUUAAAAGACCCAUUUUUCUUAAAAGAUCCACCCCAUGUACAAAAGCCCACCAUUUCAAUCUGAUUCCUUUUAUUGUUUCUUGUCUCGGGUAGUGCCGAAUUCCCAUUUUUAUCAACUUUUUGACCCCAAUUCCUCAAACUAGGAUGAGGGCCUUCUUUAUAUAUAUAUANAGAUAUCCAAAUCAAUUGAAUUUUUAUUAGAAAAUUCUUUAAACUAUUGAAAACAAGAUCUAUACUCUUGAUCUUGAUUACAAGACUCCUAUCAUCAUUUUUUAAAAAAUAUUCAUUUUUAGCCGUUCAUUUUUAUGUCCACUCAAUGGAUAAGAGAACAAUAUCGAAAAUAUAUGAAAUUUGAUUUCUAAAUACUUCAAAUGGUAUAGAUCAUGUUCAACGAUGCCGAUCGUCGAUUUGGAGGCUCCAUUAUCGAAAAUAAAUGGGUGGCAAAAGUGCCAGUUUGCUAUCGAUAGUAUUCUAGCUCAACUCUAUAUAUAUAUAUAUAUAUAUUGAGAGAUUAGGUAGCACGCUACCCGCUUCGUUUAUUUUAUUUAGAAAUAAACUUAGCUAGAAAUAUGAAUCAACUAGGAUUUGAACUUGGAACCUCCAGUACCAACCACCAAGCUCUUUGCCACUUGCUCUAGGGACGGUCAGUAUGAGGGCCUUCUUUAUAGAUCUUUGGAUUUGGCGAUUUGGGCAAAAUUUGUUGUUUUUGUGUUCUCUUGGGUAUUUUUACAAACACCUAAUGUGCAAGGAUCUGCUGUUUUGAUGGAAUUUAAUAAUUUAGGGGUGUAAUGUGAGUCGUGCUGUGCCCCGUGCGGAUUCAGCCUAGGGUUGGCUCGGUUACAAAUCCUGGCCAACCCGUGCCAGCCCGCUUUCUCAGAGAAGAAGGCCUAGCCCGGCCGCUUGGACUGCCCGGCACGUGCUAUGCCGGGCCAAGCCGGGCUUCGUGCUAGCCCAGUAAAAAGUUUUUUUUUUAAUUUCUUCCCAACCGUCUUUUGUUAAAUUUUUUUUUAAUUUUUUUUUAGUAAAAAGAGAUAACUAAUUUUUAAAUUAUACCUUCUCGAUUUUUUUUUAUUUACACAAUUAUACCCAAAUUUUUUUUAAACUCUUGUAAUAAUUUUAUAAAUUUUAAAAAAAGCUAAAAUACUAACCAUAAAUUUAACAUUUUUAAUAUCAUUAAUUUUUAAUAUUAUAUAAAAUUUAAAACAUAGAGAUCAAUAAUUUUAACUUUUCAAAUAUAUUAGAUGUUUUAAUAUAAAUUUUUUAAAUUAGGUUUCGUUUAGGAUUGUGGGAAAAUUGUACUACAUGCGGUGAGAAAGUACGAUGAAAAAAUAUUCUAUUUGUUUCCGUGCGUAAUAUUGCAUUCUGCAUAUGGCAAUGAGUCGGUUAUGAUAUAUUUUUUGCGGCCCCACUAGAGAACGCAGAAGCAUAUUCUUAAAUGCUUUAUCCCGACUCAAUUUUAUCUAAUAAUAUUAUAUGGACUUUAAUACAAAACUAAGCCUUACAUUUCUGUGAUCCAAUAACCAACUUUAAUAUAAAAUUUUUAAUAUAAGAUUAAAUAUUUUGUUGAGAUUGAAACUUUUGUUAAAAAAAAAGUUGUUGAAAAGAUUAAAAAAAUUUGCAAAGCUAACUUGAGGAAAAAAAAUUUUAGAUUGAAAGUUUGAGAGUAGGAAGAAUUAGUGUUUGGGGAAGAAAUGAACGAAGAGUUGUUUGUUGAAAUGAAUUUGAAAAUUUGUAAAAGCAUUUAUAGAUGUAAAAAAAUUUUAAAUUUUUUUUAAAAAAUAGAAAAUAUUUUUGACCAAAAUGUCCUAUCUAACGGUCAAAAUUUUGAAUGCUAGUAAAGGCAUUAUGGUCAUUUUCAGCAAAAAGAUGUCUUUUUUAAUAUUUUUAUCUUUUUUUCAAAAAAAAAUAAUUUUCAUAUAUAUAUAUAUAUAGGCAGGACUGCUGUGCUCUCAGGAGCCGUUUUCGAUGAUGGAAUGUCCAAAUCGACGAUCAGCUCUGUUAGACUUGAUCUAACGUAUUUGAAGAUUCUAGAAAAUAAUUUUUUGCGAUUUUUCGAUAUCAUUUACUUAGCAAUCGAAAGGAUUCAAAAUCAAUAAUUUUUAACGGCUGAAAAUAAAAAUCCUAUAAAACGUGGUGAUAUAGCACUAAAAUUUUCGAUCAGAAAUAUUGAUCUUGUUAUAGAUAGUAUAAAGAAUUUUGUAUCAAAAUUUCAUCUGAUUUGAAUACUUUUACACCGUUAAACUUGAAAACGGUAGAUAUCAACCAUUAAAAAUUAUUGAUUUUGAAUCCUUUCGAUCACUAGGUAAAUGAUAUCAAAAAAUCGCAAAAAUUAUUUUCUAGAAUCUUCAAAUACGCUAGAUCAAGUCUAACGGAGCCGAUCGUCGAUUUGGAAAUUCCAUCAUCGAAAACGGCUCAGGAGCACAGCAGCCCUGCUAUAUAUAUAUAUAUAUAUAUAUAUAUAUAUAUAUAUAUAUAUAUAUAGAGAGAGAGAGAGAGAGAGAGAGAGAGAGAGAGAGAGGGAGAGAGAGAGUUGAGCCGGAAUGUUACCAAUAGCAAACUGGUUUUAUUGCCAUCCAUUUGUUUUCCAUAAUAGAGCCUCUAAAUCGAUGAUCGGCACCGUUGAACAUAAUCUAUACCACUUGAAGUAUUUAGAAAUUAAAUUUCAUAUUUUUCUGAUAUUAUUUUUUGUCCAUCAAGUGAACACAAAAAUGAAUGGCUGAAAUAAAUAUCUUUUAAAAAGUGAUGAUAGGAGUCUUCUAAUCAAGAUCAAGAAUAUAAAUCUUGUUCUAAAUAGUUUAAACAAUUUUCUAACCAAAAUUCAAUUAAUUUGGAUAUCUUUAUACCGUUAAAUGAGAAAACAUCUUAGAUCGACAACUAAAAUUAUAAAUUUUGAGACCUUUUAAUAAUCUGACCAAUAAUGUCGAAAAAAUUAGAAAUUUGGUUUCUAGAUUUUUUAAGUGGUAUAGACCAUAUUCAAUGGUACCGGUCGUCAAUUUGAAGGCUUCAUCAUCAAAAUAAAUAGAUAGCAACGGAACUCAUUUGUUACUAAUAGCAUUCAAGCUCAACUCUCUAUCUCUUUCUCUAUAUAUAUAUACUAGUUGUAAUGCACGUGCGAUGCACGUCAUAUUUAAUUAAAUUAAGUUUAUAUUUAUAUUUUAAAUUUAAAUAAUUAUUGGUGGUAUAUAUCUAUUUAUCAAUUAAAUUUUUUUUAACUUUAAUUUUUUUAAUGUGUAUCCAAAUUUAUAUAUAUGAAAAUUGGAUUUUUGAAAAUCUGAUUACUGUUAUUCAAAUUACUGUUAUUCAGUAAAAAUCAGUAUAUGAAAAUCGGAUUUUUUUUUUUUU
rnacentral:lncRNA from 1 species